UAAGUAGAAAGUGAAAGCACACGGCUCAACCGUGUAAACAUCUUCUAAACUGGUUAACUAGAGGGCGAGAGAGGUUAUUGGAAUUUCUUGUGUAGGAGUGAAAUCCGUAGAUAUAAGAAGGAACACCGAUGGCGUAGGCAGAUAACUGGCUCGCACCUGACACUAAGGCACGAAAGCGUGGGUAGCAAACGGGAUUAGAUACCCCGGUAGUCCACGCUGUAAACGAUGGAUGCUA
rnacentral:rRNA from 1 species